UGCAGUGUUUUGGAGAUGCCAGUA
rnacentral:piRNA from 2 species